ACCUAAUCCCCAUAGUCAGCACUGAGUAAGAUAAGCUAAGCUUCAUUCAUCCCUAUAAUUACUACCGGCCGUCAAUUCAGACUCCCAUCGUGGUCCCAAUUUUCUUUAUGGUCCACUCUCACCCUUGUCUAUGGCCACGCGUCGACCUCACGACCCCCUGUCUGAACGAAUCUGUCGGCAGCCAAGGCGUUCACGGCUAUCUU
rnacentral:lncRNA from 1 species